GAUGAAGAACGCAGCGAAAUGCGAUACGUAAUGUGAAUUGCAGAAUUCAGUGAAUCAUCGAAUCUUUGAACGCAUAUUGCGCUCUCUGGUAUUCCGGAGAGCAUGCUUGUUUGAGUAUCAGUGAACACCUCAACUCCCUUUUCUUUUUUGAAAUUGGAGCUGGACUUGAGUGAUCCCAACGCUUUCUUCCAAGAAAGUGGCGGGUUGCUUGAAAUGCAGGUGCAGCUGAACUUUUCUCUGAGCUAUAAGCAUAUCUAUUUAGUCUGCCUAAAAAACAGAUUAUUACCUUUGCUGCAGCUAACAUAAAGGAGACUAGUUCUUGUGCUGACUGAUGCAGGAUUCACAGAGACAGCUUCGGCUGACUUUGUAAACUCGAUCUCAAAUCAAGUAAGACUACCCGCUGAACUUAAGCAUAUCAAUAAGCGGAGGA
rnacentral:misc_RNA from 1 species